rfam:Otolemur garnettii contig110200, whole genome shotgun sequence.
GCUGGGCGUUGUGGCGGGUGCCUGUAGUCCCAGCUACUGGGGAGGCUGAAGCAAGAGAAUUGCUUAAGCCCAAGAGUUUGAGGUUGCUGUGAAUUGUGAUGCCUCGGCACUCUACUGAGGGUGACAUAGUGAGACUCUGUCUCAAAACAAAUAAAUAAAUACACAAAAAAGGCCUUUAUUUUAUUUAUUUAUUGAGACAGAGUCUCACUUUGUCACCCUCAGUAGAGUGCUAAGGCAUCACAGCUCACAGCAACCUCCAACUAUUGGGCUUAAGCGAUUCUCUUGCCUCAG